CAGAGCCCCGAUGAGCAUCAGUGAUACUCUUGAAGAGCUCCCAGUGCUGCGUGUGAUAUGGACCUGCUAACCAAUAAGGUUAACAACGCAAUAGGCAGAGCGUCUGUUAGUACCUUCUAUCCCUCGGGAAGAUUUCUGAAAGACUACAAUGAAUAAAGUGGAGAAAGUUGGAAAUUUAUGGAAACCCCAAAAGAAUUCCAAGAAUGAUGAAAAUUACUUUGUAAAGCUCUGUACUGGAUUGGAUCUCAUAAUAGACUUCAUUUUAAGGGAGAGAGAGAGAAAGAAGAACAUCAAGAUGUGUCCUCUACAUUUGUCUACAUAACCCAUCCCAUCCUUGUGGCUGCUGGUGACCCAGGAAUGGCAUUUGUUCAGAAUGGUGAUGAAUUUUGCCUUGCUGGAUCUGAUGUAGACUGAAACUUGUCAGAGCCAAUCACAACCGUCAUCUUCCUUGCUUUCCCAGUGUCCACGGCAUAAGGGGCAGCCAAUGUCAGUUGGAUCCAUGAGUCAGUUCUGCCAAUGGAAUCUAAGAAGUCUGUUCAGAUUGUUCCUGGGAAGGUUUUCCUUUUCCUACAAAAAAGAACAGACAGAGUUGGCACCACUUUUCACCUCUAUUCCUGUUUAGAAUGCAGAUGUGCCACCAUCUUAACUGCAAAAGGACAGAAAUGUCCGGCCUGCCAUCAUGGAACUGUUGGACACACAUUGAAACAGCUUGCCUUUUGGAUUUUUGUUGUUGUUGUUAUUUUGUUUUGUUUGUGAGAAAAACUCAACACUAUUUUGUUAAGAUACCACAUUUCAAUUCUUUGUUACUUGCAGCUAAGUAUAUUCCUACCUGGUAAAAGAGAGAUUAUACCUAUAAUAUCAACUACAGCCAUUUAAAUGAACAAGUGUUUAAAAGUAUUCCAUUAGGGAAAUAAUAUUUGUGCUAAUCAAAAUGAUCAGCUCAUCCAUCCCCAAACCUAAAUUCGUUUAAUAUGGGCCACAUAGUAAUAAAAAUACGAUAACUAAAUAGAAGUCAGUAGAUGCCACAUAGGUGAGAGAAAGCUACUUACAAUUCUUGGGGAAUUUAUUUUAAAUUUAUUUUUUUCUAGUUU